rnacentral:rRNA from 1 species
CUUGGUGCUACUGCGAAGGGGGGACGGAGAAGGCUAUGUUGGCCGGGCGACGGUUGUCCCGGUUUAAGCGUGUAGGCUGGUUUUCCAGGCAAAUCCGGAAAAUCAAGGCUGAGGCGUGAUGACGAGGCACUACGGUGCUGAAGCAACAAAUGCCCUGCUUCCAGGAAAAGCCUCUAAGCAUCAGGUAACAUCAAAUCGUACCCCAAACCGACACAGGUGGUCAGGUAGAGAAUACCAAGGCGCUUGAGAGAACUCGGGUGAAGGAACUAGGCAAAAUGGUGCCGUAACUUCGGGAGAAGGCACGCUGAUAUGUAGGUGAGGUCCCUCGCGGAUGGAGCUGAAAUCAGUCGAAGAUACCAGCUGGCUGCAACUGUUUAUUAAAAACACAGCACUGUGCAAACACGAAAGUGGACGUAUACGGUGUGACGCCUGCCCGGUGCCGGAAGGUUAAUUGAUGGGGUUAGCGCAAGCGAAGCUCUUGAUCGAAGCCCCGGUAAACGGCGGCCGUAACUAUAACGGUCCUAAGGUAGCGAAAUUCCUUGUCGGGUAAGUUCCGACCUGCACGAAUGGCGUAAUGAUGGCCAGGCUGUCUCCACCCGAGACUCAGUGAAAUUGAACUCGCUGUGAAGAUGCAGUGUACCCGCGGCAAGACGGAAAGACCCCGUGAACCUUUACUAUAGCUUGACACUGAACAUUGAGCCUUGAUGUGUAGGAUAGGUGGGAGGCUUUGAAGUGUGGACGCCAGUCUGCAUGGAGCCGACCUUGAAAUACCACCCUUUAAUGUUUGAUGUUCUAACGUUGACCCGUAAUCCGGGUUGCGGACAGUGUCUGGUGGGUAGUUUGACUGGGGCGGUCUCCUCCUAAAGAGUAACGGAGGAGCACGAAGGUUGGCUAAUCCUGGUCGGACAUCAGGAGGUUAGUGCAAUGGCAUAAGCCAGCUUGACUGCGAGCGUGACGGCGCGAGCAGGUGUGAAAGCAGGUCAUAGUGAUCCGGUGGUUCUGAAUGGAAGGGCCAUCGUUCAACGGAUAAAAGGUACUCCGGGGAUAACAGGCUGAUACCGCCCAAGAGUUCAUAUCGACGGCGGUGUUUGGCACCUCGAUGUCGGCUCAUCACAUCCUGGGGCUGAAGUAGGUCCCAAGGGUAUGGCUGUUCGCCAUUUAAAGUGGUACGCGAGCUGGGUUUAGAACGUCGUGAGACAGUUCGGUCCCUAUCUGCCGUGGGCGCUGGAGAACUGAGGGGGGCUGCUCCUAGUACGAGAGGACCGGAGUGGACGCAUCACUGGUGUUCGGGUUGUCAUGCCAAUGGCACUGCCCGGUAGCUAAAUGCGGAAGAGAUAAGUGCUGAAAGCAUCUAAGCACGAAACUUGCCCCGAGAUGAGUUCUCCCUGACUCCUUGAGAGUCCUGAAGGAACGUUGAAGACGACGACGUUGAUAGGCCGGGUGUGUAAGCGCAGCGAUGCGUUGAGCUAACCGGUACUAAUGAACCGUGAGGCUUAACCUA